rnacentral:rRNA from 1 species
GGAAAUUUUACGAGCUGAGGGCCUCUGGGUCCACCUCCCACCCAUGUUUAUUGUACCUUGUUGCUUCGGCGGGCCCGCCUCACGGCCGCCGGGGGGCUUCUGCCCUCUGGCCCGCGCCCGCCGAAGACACCAUUGAACACUGUCUGAAGAUUGCAGUCUGAGCAAUUAGCUAAAUAAGUUAAAACUUUCAACAACGGAUCUCUUGGUUCCGGCAUCGAUGAAGAACGCAGCGAAAUGCGAUACGUAAUGUGAAUUGCAGAAUUCAGUGAAUCAUCGAGUCUUUGAACGCACAUUGCGCCCCUUGGUAUUCCGGGGGGCAUGCCUGUCCGAGCGUCAUUGCUGCCCUCAAGCACGGCUUGUGUGUUGGGCCCCGUCCUCUUUCCCGGGGGACGGGCCCGAGGGCAGUGGCGGCUCGCGUCCGGUCCUCGAGCGUAUGAGGCUUUGUCCCCCGCUCUGGAGGCCGGCCGGGGCUUGCCGAAAACAUUAAUCUUUUUUGGGUUGACCUCGAUCAGGUAGGAAUACCGGAUGAAUCAAGCA